CGGGGACGGCAGCCAUUGUGUGGAACCGGGGUGUUGUCCGUGAUGGAGAUGAUCUCCAACCCCCCCAUGAUCACCCCCUGGAUGGCAGCCUAACGCCCAGGUCCCAGGCCUUUCAAUAUCACUCGCACAUGGGACACACCCUUCCUGCAGGCUUUCUGAGGAGAGAAUAACUGUUUAGUGCUCUUGGUGAGGAGGGGCAGGCAGAUCUCUAUGGCCGCUACACAAAGCUGAGGAACUGAGGGCUGAUAGGAAACAGGUGAUUGAAAGCAGUUUCAACACAAUUUGUGUGUCCUGCAUACUAAUUCCAAGUAAAGUAAAAAAGUAAACAGACAUGUGAAGCUACUCUGAGCUUGGACUUGAGGUAGCAGAUGAUGUAUCCUCUGAACCUGGGCAGAGAAGGAGGAACUAGAACUCUCUAAAGCUUGCUUCCAACAGCUGGUUUCUU